CCCCAGACGGUCGCUGUACACUGCACAAUGGCCCGGCCAGCUCAACAGAAAGUUACAGUGUGGUGCCGGAAGUCUGAGUAACAGACACUGGAGGACUGCAGAAUGGCUGUUGGGGUUCCCUGGACACACUCUUCUCACCCUCACCCCGGUCCUACUGAGGUCCUGCACUACCCCUCUGCCCCUGUCUCUGCUUUGCAAACUCCUCUUUGUCUUUAAAACCUCAGGUCCCCUUGGAGACUCUGUGUUCUAUGCCUUCUGCAGUCACCUUGGCCGUAGCCUUCAAUGACAAGUGUCCCUCUUACUGCUGUGGACCCCUCCUGCUCGGGACUUGCUGACUGCCCAUCAGCCUGAGAAGUUCACAGUGCCUUUGCCGAGUGUCCGGAGCCCCCAGGAAAGCUUCCUGUAGUGUUUAGCCACUUAGAGGGACUUACGCUUCAGCAGACACCAUGGUCAGCCAGGUAAAUGCCAAGCUCGUUUCUUCCUGAGGCCUUGUCCCGAGUACCUUCGUUCUCAGGCCGAGGCCCUACUGCUGUCUUAUUGGUAUCCAGAAGAUGGGAGCGAGGUCUCCUCAGCACAUCAUGAACCUAAGCCUGUUCUCUGCCUUGAUUCUUCCUCUGCAUCUCUGGACUGUCAAUUCGUCCCUGCUCUUGACUAACCUGCACAGGGCAUGCACUUCUCAACAAAAGCCAAGCUAUGAAUGGCAGCAGAAAGACGUCCAUACUCUGUGUGCAUGUCCUCUACUGCUCCACUAACAAUGACGCUGAAAAACAAAAGAUAGAAAUUUAAAAAAGAGGAAAAAUGAAGACGGUGAUUUGUAAAUAUUGACCUAACAGAGGACAUUUUGGAAAGGAUUGAAGGAACUCCCUGUACUUUCAUACCCUCAAAGUGGCGGGAGCACACAAGUCAUCUCAGUAGCCCGCAUCUUGAGAGACUGGACUGCUCAGAGCUAACAUUCAAGACAGAAAACAGCGAUAAGUAGUAGAACAACAAAAAUGAUCAGAUGACUGAAGCUAUUCUUAAAAUAAUAUGAAAGAUCUUGUUUUGUACAGAUAUUCAUGGGAUAAGGUCUCUUCCUUUGCACUGUGGGAAUCCCUGAACACUGCGUCUGAAAGCUGAAUAAGAAACAGAGAGGUAAAGGAUGAACAGGUAUGUAAAGA